UGCUCGAUGGUGUAAUGGUAGCACAAGCGACUCUGACUCGCUUAGUCUAGGUUCGAUCCCUAGUCGGGCAGCCA
rnacentral:tRNA from 3 species